ensembl:snRNA U1 U1 spliceosomal RNA
AUACUUACCUGGCAGGGGAGAUACCAUGAUCACAAAGAUGGUUUUCCCAGGGUGAGGUUCAUCCAUUGCACUGCGGGUGUGCUGAUUUCCCCAAAUGCGGGAAACUCGACUGCAUAAUUUGUGGUAGUGGGGGACUGUGUUCGCGCUUUCCCCUG